AGCCUGUUUUCCUUUGUGUUUUGUGGGUGAUUAUUUUCAGUCGUUGUGUGUCUGCACCAGACAGAACUGUUUCGGUUGUUAUUCAGUGUUCAGUUUUGAUUAUUAUUAAAUAAGAUGAACACUAACCACGCUCGACGAAGUGUACGAAGACACUCUCCAGGAAGUUUCUUACCUAUAAAGACAGCAGCCUCAGUGAAGGCAUGGACAUGCAAGUGCACACUGUACAGCAACUUACCAGUUAGUGACACAAAACUGAAGGAGAUCCAAGCAGAAACAGAAAAGGACUCACAACUCGCACAUGUGAGUAAAGUCAUACAGGAUGGAUGGCCUGAGGAGAGGUGAAAAUGCCCUCAGAGCGUCUCAGAAUUCUGGAACCAUCGUGAUGAACAGAUCAAUGGAAUAAUUUUCAAAGGAGAGAAAAUCAUUAUUCCUACCAGUCUCAGAGAAGAGAUUUUGACAAAGAUCCAUGCUGGACACACGGGCAUGGAAAAGUGCAAACAGAGCGCACGGGACAUUUUGUUUUGACCCGGCAUGUGCAAACAAAUAGAGGACAUUGUUGGUAAAUGCGCCAUAUGUCUUGAACGACGCCCCUCAAACACCAAAGAGCCAAUGUUACCUCACUGUAUCCCAGACAGACCCUGGCAGGUCGUGGCAACCGUUCUGUUCACCUGGAACAACGAGGACUACAUCGUAACAGUGGACUACUACAGCGACAAGCUUCACAGCACCACAUCUGCAGCUGUGAUACACAAGCUAAAAGCAGCCUUUGCCAGGCAUGGUAUUGUUGAGACUUUAAUAUCUGACAAUGGGCCCUGUUACAAAUCAAAUGAGUUUGAAUCUUUCACAAAAGCAUGGGAGUUUACACAUGUCACCACAAGCCCACAUUACUGUCAAAGUAAUGGAUUUGCUGAAAAAUCUGUGCAGAUUGCAAAUUCACUCAUGGACAAAGCAAAAGCAGACAAGAGAGACCCCUACAUCAGUCUCCUUGAAUACCGCAACACUCCAGUUGACAUCUUCAAAUCACCAGCCCAGCUGUUGAUGAGCCGUAGACUUAGCUCAAUCCUUCCCAGCACUAACCAGCAGCUACAAGGAAAUGCAUGAAAAACGUGCACCGAGACAACAGCAACAAAAGCGAUACUACGACAGGUCAGCUAGACCACUGCCACCACUGAUCGACGGAGAGUCAGUUAGAAUCAAGGAGCAUGGCCUCUGGAAGCCAGCAGUCGUCAUCCAGCCAGCUGACACUGAACGUUCAUAUCACGUCCGCACCGCAGAAGGAGCAGUGUACCGCCAAAAUCGUAGUCAUCUACUGAACAUAAAAAACAAUACACUGAUGAGAUUAACUGUUCCCCUGAAAGAGAACGUGGUGGACUAAACACACACAGCACAACAUACACCAUUACCUGCAACACCACAAGAGCUGUUGACUGACACAGAAGCAUGCUCAGCAUCAUAUCGCAGAAGGUCAGGAAGAGAGGUCAAGCCCAGGUCUGUCUCAGACCUGUGAAAUGUCAAUGGGUGUCGGCGGAUCGCUGUCCUAAAAUAGUUCCAGACUGUAAAUUGUUAUAGAAAGUUCACUUGAAAUGCUUUGGUAUUGUAUUUGUUUGAAAUGUUAAGAUGUCAUUUCUUCUGUGAAAGCUGAGUUGCUGAGAAUCCCUUGUUCGUUGGAUCAUUGUUUCAGAGUCUAUGUUGGUGUAGUAUGCAAUAUAAAUGGUUACUUACCUUGAGUUCAAACUGCAGAGCAUGUAUUCAAAAGAAACGCUUAGAAUAUGUAAACAUUUUGUUUUAAAAGAAGGGGGAUGUAAUAUUCAUGUGUCAACAUACUGAAUUAUAAUUGGAUGCAUUUUCCCGCCGUAUCAUACUGUGCUAUGAUUGGUUAAGACCACCCAGAUGGUUAGGUCAUGGUCAGUUGAUCAUGGUUGGAGAUACGUGAACAUGGAAGUUAUAGCUAGCUAAUAAAGAGCUACGUUUAGAAAUAUCCUGUAGUACUGCAUUUUAUUAUUUUGUACAAAGCGUGCAAAACAAGACACCAGGCGAGGCAAUCAUCCUCAACACUCAAGGCUGUUGUCUGCCAAUAAGAAUGUGGUGAUUGACAGAGUCGAAAGCCUUGGCCAGGUCGAUAAAUACGGCUGCACAGUAUUGUCUCUUAUCGAUGGCGGUUAUGAUAUCGUUUAGGACUUUAAGCGUGGCUGAGGUGCACCCAUGACCAGCUCUGAAACAUUACAUUACAUUACAUUUAAGUCAUUUAGCAGACGCUCUUAUCCAGAGCGACUUACAAAUUGGUGCAUUCACCUUAUGAAACCAGAUUGCAUAUCGGAGAACGUACGGUGGGAUUCGAAAUGGUCGGUAUCUGUUUGUUGACUUGGCUUUCGGAGACCUUAGAAAGGCAGGGUAGGAUAGAUAUAUGUCUAUAACAGUUUGGGUCUAGAGUGUCUCCCCCUUUGAAGAGGUGCAACAAACACUUAAACUGGACAGUUUUAUCUCAAUCACUUCAUUCAAAGACUCAUCAUGGACGCUCUUACUGACAGUUGUGGCUGCUUUGUGUGAUGUAUUUGUAGUCUGCCUUCUUGCCCUUUGUGCUGUUGUCUGCCCAAUAAUAUUUACCCUGUUUUGUGCUUCUGCCGUGUUGUGCUUCUACCGUGUUGUUGCUACCAUGCUGUGUUGCUGCCAUGCUAUGUUGUCUUAGGUCUCUCUUUAUGUAGUGUUGUCUCUUGUCGUGAUGUGUUUUGUCAUAUUUUUAUCCCAGCUCCUGUCCCCGCAGGAGGCCAUUUGGUAGGCUGUAAUUGUGUUAAGAAUUUGUUCAUAACUGUCUUGCUUAGUUAAAUAAAUACAAAUAAAUGUUUAUUGCCCAUCAAUCCAUAUCCACAGUAACUCAAAUACAGGAAAAUAUUUACUAUAAUUUCCCAUUACAAAUACCUAAUUGUUGUAAGAUCUGGCAUGUGUCUGCAAUGUUUACGGGCAAGAACUGUUGUGGAUUUCAAGUGCUCAAGAAGUUGUGUGUUUUUGGCAGUUUGAUUUCCGACACUUGGUGGCAGCCUACUCCAUAGUUUAGUGGUGCCCGAUGUGUUACUUCACUCCAGCUGUGUGCUUCAUAGACGCGUGUUUCUUAACCCAUUUUGAAUCAGUAUCCAGGAUGACACCAAUUAAUCUAGGACAUUAGAACUGCCAUCAGACAGUAGUUUAAAAACCUUUUCUCUCUCUCUCUCUUCUAGCCAUCCAUCUUGUCACUGGUAAUCAAAAUCACCAACGUCAUUGACAACGUCGUACUACAGUGUCAGAUUUGAUCUCAACAGAGAAAUGGAAAUUGAGGAAAUGAGAUCGGUGGACAACAGGACACAAAUGUUGCAGACCUUGCUGUCAUUCUGAAGACAUUGCCUUCUGUGGAGACGGUGACCGCUCUGGGAACCAAGGUGGUGGAGACCCUACGCACACAGGACCCUUUGGAAGUCGAUAUGAAGCUCUUGCAGAACUCCCUGGCUGCCGUUCGCCACGCUCGCUUGUUUGAAGAAAAUGCCUCCCACUCCACGUGAGCUGCCCCUGCGAACACACACCCACCUAUGGCUUCAUCAGUAGUUUAUUUUUUUACGGUCAAUUUUGGAAUUAAAUAUUGUUGAUGUUAAAUGUACCUAUCCAAACAUGUCAAUUUGUCUGAGUGUGUGUGUGGGUGGGGGGGGUCUGGUCCGUUUGCUGAAGGACCUGAGGACCCGCUUCCCAGGGUUUGAACCCCUUACCCCCUGGAUGUUGGACUUACUGGGUCACUUUGCGGUCAUGAACAACCCCAGCAGACAGCCACAAGCCCUCAAUGUGACCUUCAGACGGAGCCUGGAGAUGCUGUCAUCAGGGCUUUUCUUGCCUGGUUCAGCUGGGAUCGCAGACCCUGACAUGGUGUGCCUCACUGCUCAGACCCUGGUGAGGUUGCUGUCUCAUGGCGGCUACAUGAAGUUUCUGGGUCUGGAUGGAGACGCUAGCCAUCUGGUGGUGGAGACAUCCAUGUGGGAUGGAGUGACAGUGAAGCCUUCUGAGAAGGCGGAUGAGAAGAUGUUGGAAUUGGAGGUGGAUGAUGUAGAAAUGGAGGGCAUGGACGCUAUAAAGAGGGCAUGGACGCUAUAAAGAGGGCAUGGACGCUAUAAAGAGGGCAUGGACGCUAUAAAGAGGGCAUGGACGCUAUAAAGAGGGCAUGUUGAAAAAACAUGCCGUAGUUAUUGUUGAUACUCCAGCUGACUAACCACAUCCUCUUCAAAUGGAAUGUUGCAACUGUGGUAUUGGAGUACUUGUCCUCAGACGGCAGAGGUUUAAACUUUUGCAUCCUUCUGAGGGUUCCAACCAUUCUGAGAAAAAACAUAGCUGGAUAGACUACUUUUGUGUCAAAAUAACAAAAGUGAUGCUGGUGUUUUACUCUCGAACCUUGACUAUGGUUAGCAUUUCAAUGGGUUGUUUAUUUGCAGUAUUUGUCCACUCAUACCUGUAUGCAGUUUGAAAAUGGCAGAUUUGGACACUAAUAAGCUUAUAAAUUGGAACGCUGUACAGUAACAUGCUAUAUACGUGAAAUCAGAGCUCUGGCUCUGUGCUUCACAGCUCUAUAUUGGUUUUGACAGACAGCCGUUCUGAACUUGAGCACCGGGUAGGGCAAGAUGUUGCCCCCAUCCCUCCUGCUAAUUGGGCAGGUAGCCUAGUGGUUGUGUUGGGCCAGUUACUGAAAGGUUGCUAGAUCAAAUCCCAGAGCUGACAAGGUAAAAAUCUUGAACAAGGCAGUAAUUGCAAACAGGUUUCUGUACCAAAUAUUAGGUUCUGCUUUUCUGAUGUAUCAAAUACUUACAGUGGGGAGAACAAGUAUUUGAUACUGACGAUUUUGCAGGUUUUCCUACUUACAAAGCAUGUAGAGGUCUGUAAUUUUAUCAUAGGUACACUUCAACUGUGAGAGACGGAAUCUAAAACAAAAAUCCAGAAAAUCACAUUGUAUGAUUUUGAAGUAAUUAAUUUGCAUUUUAUUGCAUGAGAUAUGCAUAAGUAUUUGAUACAUCAGAAAAGCAGAACUUUAAUAUUUGGUACAGAAACCUCUGUUUGCAAUUACAGAGAUGAUACGUUUCCUGUUGUUCUUGACCAGGUUUGCACACACUGCAGCAGGGAUAAAAUAAAUACAUUAAUUAAAUACAGUAUUGAAAAAGGUAGUUGUUUGGGCUAAAUUAUAGGUGGGCUAUGUACAGGUGCAUUAAUCUGUGAGCUGCUCUGACAGUUGGUGCUUUAAGCUAGUGAGGGAGAUAAGUGUUGGUUUUGGGGGUGACUAGAGAGAUAUACCUGCUGGAGCGUGUGCUACAGGUGGGAGAUGCUAUUGUGACCAGCGAGCUGAGAUAAGGGGGGACUUUACCUAGCAGGGUCUUGUAGAUGACAUGGAGCCAGUGGGUUUGGCGACGAGUAUGAAGCGAGGACCAGCCAACGAGAGCGUACAGGUCGCAAUGGUAGGUAGUAUAUGGGGCUUUGACAAAACGGAUUGCACUGUGAUAGACUGCAUCCAAUUUGUUGAGUAGGGUAUUGGAGGCUAUUUUGUAAAUGACAUCGCCAAAGUCGAGGAUUGGUAGAAUGGUCAGUUUUACCAGGGUAUGUUUGGCAGCAUGAGUGAAGGAUGCUUUGUUGUGAAAUAGGAAGCCAAUUCUAGAUUUAACUUUGGAUUGGAGAUGUUUGAUAUGGGUCUGGAAGGAGAGUUUACAGUCUAACCAGACACCUAGGCAUUUGUAGUUGUCCACGUAUUCUAAGUCAGAGCUGUCCAGAGUAGUGAUGUUGGACAGGCGGGUAGGUGCAGGUAGCGAUCGGUUGAAGAGCAUGUAUUUAGUUUUACUUGUAUUUAAGAGCAAUUGGAGGCCACGGAAGGAGAGUUGUAUGGCAUUGAAGCUUGCCUGGAUGGUUGUUAACAGUGUCCAAAGAAGGACCAGAGGUAUACAGAAUGGUGUCGUCUGCGUAGAGGUGGAGCAGAGACUCACCAGCAGCAAGAGUGACCUCAUUGAUAUAUACAGAGAAGAGACUGCGAGGUCCGGACAGCAGACCCUCCGAUUUGACACACUGAACUCUCAGAGAAGUAGUUGGUGAACCAGGCGUGGCAAUAAUUUGAGAAACCAAGGCUGUCGAGUCUGCCGAUGAGGAUGUGGUGAUUGACGGAGUCGAAAGCCUUGGCCAGAUCAAUGAAUACGGCUGCACAGUAAUGUUUCUUAUCUAUGGCGGUUAAGAUAUCGUUUAGGACCUUGAGCGUGGCUGUGGUGCACCCAUGACCAGCUCUGAAACCAGAUUGCAUAGCAGAGAAGUUAUGGUGAGAUUCGAAAUGGUCGGUAAUCUGUUUGUUAACUUGGCUUUCGAAGAUCUUAGAAAGGCAUGGUAAGAUGACGGCGUAGUGUGUUACUAAUGGUUCUUUGAGACUGUGGUCCCAGCUCUCUUCAGGUCAUUGACCAGGUCCUGCCGUGUAGUUCUGGGCUGAUCCCUCACCUUCCUCAUGAUCAUUGAUGCCCCACGAGGUGAGAUCUUGCAUGGAGCCCCAGACUGAGGGUGAUUGACUGUCAUCUUGAACUUCUUCCAUUUUCUAAUAAUUGCCCCAACAGUUGUUGCCUUCUCACCAAGCUGCUUGCCUAUUGUCCUGUAGCCUUGUGCAGGUCUACAAUUUUAUCCCUGAUGUCCUUACACAGCUCUCUGGUCUUGGCCAUUGUGGAGAGGUUGGAGUCUGUUUGAGUGUGUGGACAGGUGUCUUUUAUACAGGUAACGAGUUCAAACAGGUGCAGUUAAUACAGGUAAUGAGUGGAGAACAGGAGGACUUCUUAAAGAAAAACGAACAGGUCUGUGAGAGCCGGAAUUCUUUGUUGGUAGGUGAUCAAAUACUUAUGCAAUGCAAUAAAAUGCAAAUUAAUUACUUAAAAAUCA